rnacentral:rRNA from 2 species
GUCUAUGGCCAUACCACCCUGAAUGUGCCUGAUAUCGUCUGAUCUUGGAAGCUAAUCAGGGUCAGGCCUGGUUAGUACUUGGAUAGGAGACCAAAUACCCAAUCA